GUCGGAGUGGCGGAACUGGUACACGCGCUGGGCUUAGGACCCAGUGGAGAAAUCCAUGAGAGUUCGAAUCUCUCCUCCGACA
rnacentral:tRNA from 2 species